CGGACGGGUGAGUAACGCGUGGGCAACCUGCCUCGCACUGGGGGAUAACACUUAGAAAUAGGUGCUAACACCGCAUAGCGGGCGGGGGCGCAUGCCCUGCCCUGAAAACCCAGGUGGUGCGAGAUGGGCCCGCGUCUGAUUAGCUGGUUGGCAGGGUAACGGCCUACCAAGGCGACGAUCAGUAGCCGGCCUGAGAGGGUGGACGGCCACAUUGGGACUGAGACACGGCCCAGACUCCUACGGAAGGCAGCAG
rnacentral:rRNA from 1 species